GCUAAUGUAACAGUUUGCAAACCGAGGGGAGUUGUGAAGGGCGCGGGCUUGAGGGGCGCGCUGCUGGCCUCGUGGGUCCAUCGGCCGCCGCGUUUGUCCCAGAGCUGGGACCACAGGAGCGGAGGCAAGAGCCUCGCCCAACGUCACCAUCUCUCAGUUCCCGUCCAGGUCCGGCCCGGCUUUCUCCGCCAGCAGGGGAGCUCCAGGUGUAGGAAGAGACACAAUGGCAGCCACCGUCAGGAGGCAGAGGCCGAGGAGGCUAGCCUGUUGGGCCUUGAUGGCAGUGCUCUUGGCAGACCUGUUGGCACUGAGUGACACGCUGGCAGUGAUGUCUGUGGACCUGGGCAGUGAGUCAAUGAAGGUGGCCAUUGUCAAGCCUGGAGUGCCCAUGGAGAUUGUCUUGAACAAGGAAUCCCGGAGGAAAACCCCAGUGACUGUGACCCUGAAAGAAAAUGAAAGAUUCUUUGGAGACAGUGCAGCAAGCAUGGCCAUCAAGAAUCCAAAGGCUACGCUGCGAUACUUCCAGAACCUCCUGGGGAAGCAGGAGAAUAACCCUCACGUGGCCCUUUACAGAGCUCGUUUCCCCGAGCAUGAGCUGGGCUUCGACCCACAGAGGCAGACUGUGUACUUCCAAAUCAGCCCGCAGCUGCAGUUCUCACCUGAGGAGGUCCUCAGCAUGCUUCUCAAUUACUCCCGUUCUCUGGCUGAAGAUUUUGCAGAGCAGCCCAUCAAGGAUGCAGUGAUCACCGUGCCAGCCUUCUUCAAUCAGGCUGAGCGCCGAGCUGUGCUGCAGGCUGCGCGCAUGGCUGGCCUCAAAGUGCUGCAGCUCAUCAACGACAACACUGCCACUGCCCUCAGCUAUGGUGUCUUCCGCCGGAAAGAUAUCAACAGCACUGCCCAGAAUAUCAUGUUCUAUGACAUGGGCGCAGGCAGCACUGUGUGCACCAUCGUGACCUACCAGACGGUGAAGACUAAGGAUGCAGGGAUGCAGCCACAGCUGCAGAUCCGGGGAGUGGGGUUUGACCGCACCCUGGGGGGCCUGGAGAUGGAGCUCCGGCUGCGUGAGCACCUGGCCGGGAUUUUCAACGAGCAGCGCAAGGGCCAGAGAGCGAAGGACGUGCGGGAGAACCCCCGCGCUAUGGCCAAGCUGCUGCGUGAGGCCAAUCGACUCAAGACCAUCCUGAGCGCCAAUGCCGAUCACAUGGCCCAGAUCGAGGGCCUGAUGGAUGACGUGGAUUUCAAGGCGAAGGUGACUCGGGCAGAGUUUGAAGAGCUGUGUGCAGACCUGUUUGAGCGGGUGCCUGGGCCCGUGCAGCAGGCCCUGCAGAGUGCCGAGAUGAAGCUGGAUGAGAUUGAGCAGGUCAUCCUAGUGGGGGGGGCCACUCGGGUGCCCAAAGUUCAGGAGGUGCUGCUGAAGGCUGUGGGCAAGGAGGAGCUGGGCAAGAACAUCAACGCCGAUGAAGCCGCCGCCAUGGGCGCUGUGUACCAGGCAGCGGCGCUCAGCAAAGCCUUCAAGGUGAAGCCGUUUGUUGUCCGAGACGCGGCCAUCUACCCCAUCCUGGUGGAGUUCACGAGGGAAGUGGAGGAGGAGCCUGGAGUUCGCAGCCUGAAGCACAAUAAGCGCGUCCUCUUCUGCCGGAUGGGGCCCUACCCUCAACGCAAAGUCAUCACCUUCAACCGCUACAACCAUGACUUCAGCUUCCACAUCAACUAUGGUGACCUGGGCUUCCUGGGGCCUGAGGAUCUUCGGGUAUUUGGCUCCCAGAAUCUGACCACGGUGAAGCUAAAAGGUGUGGGUGAGAGCUUCAAGAAGUAUCCCGACUAUGAGUCGAAGGGUAUCAAGGCUCAUUUCAACCUGGAUGAGAGUGGCGUGCUCAGCCUAGACAGGGUGGAGUCUGUGUUUGAGACGCUGGUGGAGGACAGCCCAGAAGAGGAAUCUACUCUGACCAAACUUGGCAACACCAUCUCCAGCCUGUUUGGAGGUGGCGCCGCACAAGAUACUAAAGAGAAUGGUACUGACACUGUCCAGGAGGAGGAGGAGGGGCCCGCUGAGGGGAGCAAGGCUGAGCCUGGAGAGCAAGCAGAGCCCAGGGAGGAAGCUGAGGCCCCAACAGAAGACACCUCUCCACCCCCACCCCCUGAGCCUAAGGGGGAUGCAGCCCCUGAGGGAGAAAAGGCCACAGAGAAAGACAACGGGGAAAAGCCCGAGGCCCAGAAGCCAAGUGAGAAGGGUGAGGCAGGGGCUGAGGGUGUCCCUCCAGCCCCGGAGGAAGAAAAGAAGCAGAAGCCGGCCCGGAAGCAGAGAAUGGUGGAGGAGAUCGGGGUGGAGCUGGUAGUCCUGGACCUGCCUGACUUGCGCCAGGAUGAGCUGGCCCGCUCGGCCCAGAAACUCCAGGACCUGACGCUCCGGGACUUAGAGAAGCAGGAACGGGAAAAAGCAGCCAACAGCUUGGAAGCAUUCAUCUUUGAGACACAGGACAAGCUGUACCAGCCUGAGUAUCAGGAAGUGUCUACCGAGGAGCAGCGUGAGGACAUCUCUGGGAGACUCCAUGCCGCGUCCACCUGGCUGGAGGAUGAGGGCUUUGGGGCCACCACAGUGAUGUUGAAGGAGAAGCUGGCCGAGCUGAGGAAGCUGUGUCAAGGCUUGUUUUUCCGGGUGGAAGAGCGCAAGAAGUGGCCCGAGCGGCUGUCUGCCCUCGAUAACCUCCUCAACCAUUCCAGCAUGUUCCUCACGGGAGCCCGGCUCAUCCCAGAGAUGGACCAGAUCUUCACGGAGGUGGAGAUGACAACGUUAGAGAAAGUCAUCAACGAGACCUGGGCCUGGAAGAAUGCAACCGUGGCCGAGCAGGCCAAGCUUCCUGCCACAGAGAAGCCCGUGUUGCUCUCAAAAGACAUCGAGGCCAAGAUGAUGGCCCUGGACCGAGAGGUGCAGUAUCUGCUCAAUAAGGCCAAGUUUGCCAAGCCCCGGCCCCGGCCCAAGGACAAGAAUGGGACCCGGGCAGAGCCUCCCCUCAAUGCCAGUGCCAGUGACCAGGGGGACAAGGUCAUCCCUCCAGCAGGCCAGACUGAAGAUGCAAAGCCCAUCUCAGAGCCUGAGCAAGAGACUCGUGAGUUGGGGGAAACUGAUUGGGAAUACGGGCGUCACUUAGCCGAGGGGUCGGCAAACUUGCAGGUACAGCCUCUUUGCAGACGGCCUGUGAGCAGUGAACGGCCUUAGAAGGUUAUUUCCAAAAACGAAAUAUGGCAAGAGACCUAGUGUGGCUCACAAAUCCUAAACUAUUUGCCGUCUGGCUCUUUGCAGGAAGUUUGCCAUCCCCCCCGUUAGCCCCUUCCUUCCUUCGCAGACACUAACCCAUUCCUUCCCGAAAGCAGGAUCUGAACCUCUGGAGUUAGGGGGUCCCGCAGCAGAAUCUGAACAGAAGGAGCAGCCUACAGGACAGAAGCCAACUUUGAAGAAUGAUGAACUAUAACCCCCGCCUCCCAGUUCCCCACUCGUCCCCGCCCCCUUCUCUUACCACCUCUAUUUAUUAAACACCAAGGGCUGGGGGAGGGGUUGGCCCCGCCCUCAGAGGCUUAAGUUCCUCUUCUCUCACCUGUGAUUGGAGGUGUGGAGAAGGGGGAGGAAGGGACAGCUCACCAGUUCUUCUGGAGUAGUUCUGUGGUUAAAACUGAAAUUGUUCCGUUCCCCAAUCCCACCUUCUGGUUCCCUACCCAUCCAGGCCCUAGUUUGGGAAAAAUCACUAUUAGGUCUUAAUUCUUCGCCUGUGGGUAGGUGAGAGGAUGGCCAUCGGUAGUUGGUUGACAGACCUGGUAGUGGGAAGGGUGUCCUGGCUUAUUAGAGGGUCUCCAGUCUUUUCUGGUCAUCCUUCCCUCCCUCCCACCCUCCUCCACCACGAGAUCAAUGCCACACAGGCCAGUGUCUGCAGAGCCUUGGUUACCAGGUUUGAUUUCUGAGCGCCUGUCUGUGCUCUUGCCUCCUCCAGGGUUUUUUCUCUAAAAACCCCCCGCCCCCCAUGCCUCCUCCCUGUGGGUCUCCUUGGCUUCCUCUUGCAAGUUGGGCAGUCCUCUGCCUCUAGGCCAGAGCCCUUCCAUCUGGACUGCCUAAGUCAAUCUAGGUCGACUCCCACCCACACGUACAACCCCCGGUGGCCAGAGUAGGCAGGGAGAAGGUGAAGAAGGGAAUCCAGCUGCCUCUGCAGGGAGUGAGAUGUGUGAAAACCCUGUAGCUCCCCAGCCUGUGGACUCUCGGGCCUAGGAAAGCUGUGUGCAGUGGCUGGCACAGGAUGCCAGCGUCCUGCAAGCACUGCUGAAAACUGCAUCUUCCUAGUAGCCUGGUACUCAUUGGCCCUUUGACUUCCUGCCCCCAUUCUCUCCGCUUCUGUUCUGCCCUCUCAGAGCCUUUCCCUCACUUCCUGGCCCCCUGGGCUGACCAAAAUGUGCUUUCUACUGUGAGCCCCUGUCCUAAGACCCUGGGGGCAGGAGAGACCAUGGCGUGAAUGUAAAAAUGCCACCUCGCUCUGUUGGAGGCAGGCCUUGUGGGGGGAAGGAAGAGGGUACAGGUUGGCCUUUCUUAUUAAUGUGUUGCUCUGCUGGGAUGGGGGCCCUUUUACCCACCACACUGGUGUUGGGCAGCCUGCCCUCCAGGAUCCCAUCUGUAGCAGGGGCCAGGGCUGCCACCCCAACUCCCAGGACAAGGGGGAGCCUGCUUGUGUCUGUCUCUUGUGUUGUUUUCCUCUUUUUUUUUCUUUUUUUUGCCACAUUGGCAGAAAUGUGACCCAAGUGUCCUACCCUGUCCUGUAUGUUUGAGUUGUUUCACUAGCAGUUGAGGCUGGUUGGACAGCUUUGAGUCAAGUUGUACUUUGCUCCAUUGUUAAUUGAAAAGCUGUUUCAAUAAAAUAUUUUCUACA